CUGGCCCCACCUCCCCGUAACCGGCUCCCCUCACUGGCUCUUGGCUCUCCAGUGACCUGCCCCCCCAGGCCCGUCUCAGGCUCUCCUGCCCUUGUCCCCAGCGGCACCCCUCUGCCUCGCCGCUCGCAGGGGCGGGAGUGGGCGGGGCCGCCCAGCUCUCUCUCCCCGAGCUGCCGGAGAGAGGCCGGGCCAUGGCGACAGCGGCCGUGUGUCCUGUGGGCGGCGGGAGCCUGCAGCGUCCCCGCCUCCUGUCCCGGGCUGUGCCUGCCCCCGACUUUUCUCCGUGCUCCGGCACACCUCUGGCUGUGACCUGGAGGCACCUAGUACUCACUGGAUGGAAUAACUUCAUGACCGUGGUAUGAAGAGUGAUCUGCUUGGCAGAGCAUCUGAAGCAGCCAUCUACACUGUGCCACUGGCGUGGUGAAGUGUGUCUAGCUAUGGUGAAGCUUGGAUCUGCGUCAUGGCCCAUGAUAUUUCUGUCUGCAAGAACCUGGUUCCAGUUUCUGUGAAUCCAGACCCUGAGGAGCAGGGAAGUACGGACCUUGUGGAAGGAUCACUGGAUAGAAAACUGCAGAGGCCUCUCCUGGGAAAGUCAAGGACCCUUCCCAGCAUUCCUCAGUCCCCUGUCCUCAGCAGGGUUCCUCUUUUGGAUUCAAAAUUGUAUAGGGAGGAGAUGCCAGAGCAGAAGCAGUACAAGAACCACUCUGCCUCAGACUGUCAGAAAGGGUGCACAGUGCCCUCUGCUGGGGAGGCCUGGCAGCUGGAAGACGAUUGUGUGGAGCCUCCCGGGGAUACCGCUCCCCAGACCCAGCUCUGCACUGCCAUGGACGAGGCCCCAUUCAGGCACUUCCAGACGCACUCCUUCUACAUGAGGAAAAGCCUGUCUAUGGACAACCACCUGAGCUCCCUCAGUUACUCUCUCCACCCGUCAGAGACGAAGGCUGAUCGCGUCAAAACCAAGCUCAGGAGGCAGUUUGUGAGUACUUGAUGGGAGGGGUUGCUCUCCCCCCCCCCCCAAUUCCCAUAGUCUAUAUUGAAGGUUACCUGCAUAUGUGCACACAUUCUCAAAAACAGUGACAUGCUGGAUGGUUAUUUUUAUUCAAAACAUGUUAAAAAAUAGUUUGGCUCCCCAGCUUGGUCAAACAGAUGGCAGUAGCAUCGUCUGGAGUUUGGCAAAAUCACACCACAAAACCGAUUUGUCUCGUUUGUCAGGUUUUUAAAUCGCUAAUGUUAAAAGAAAAGCUGUCAUCAGAGACCGCACCUGCUUAGGCUGGGUAAUGCAGUGUGGUAACAUGCUAUCUCUUCAGCUCUGGAAGCUUCCAUUCAAAUCUUGUUUUUAUUUUUUAGGCCUCAAAUAAAAAUGGGUUUGUGGUCUUAUACCA
rnacentral:lncRNA from 1 species